UUUGAUUUAAUUUGGGGAAACUCAUUUUUUCCCAGCUCUGAGCCCCAGGGGAGGCUCCUCUGAGGCUGGGGAGGCCUGGAGGAGGAUGGGUAUGAUUUAACCAGUCAAUACUCAAAGAUACAGGAGAGAGGGAACAAAAGACGCUUUAUGGGAAGCUUCAUGGAAAGGGACAUGAAUUUUGGAGUCAGGCCGACUUUCACAUCACUUUCUCCAUCUCGCAUUUGCCAGUUGUGUGACCUUAGGCCGAUCCCAUUACCUUCUGAGCCUUGGUUUCCUCAUCUGUAAAAUGGGAAGAAUAAUAGCAUCUGUGCUGGAGGAGCACUAUGUAU
rnacentral:lncRNA from 10 species